rnacentral:rRNA from 1 species
GAUGAACGCUGGCGGCGUGCCUAAUACAUGCAAGUCGAGCGAACGGACGAGAAGCUUGCUUUUCUGAUGUUAGCGGCGGACGGGUGAGUAACACGUGGAUAACCUACCUAUAAGACUGGGAUAACUUCGGGAAACCGGAGCUAAUACCGGAUAAUAUUUUGAACCGCAUGGUUCAAUAGUGAAAGACGGUCUUGCUGUCACUUAUAGAUGGAUCCGCUCUGCAUUAGCUAGUUGGUAAGGUAAAUGCUUACCAAGGCAACGAGGCAUAUCCGACCUGAGAGGGUGAUCGGCCACAGUGGAACUGAGACACGGUCCAGACUCCUACGGGAGGCAGCAGUAGGGAAUCUUCCGCAAUGGGCGAAAGCAUGACGGAGCAACGCCGCGUGAGUGAUGAAGGUCUUCGGAUCGUAAAACUCUGUUAUUAGGGAAGAACAAAUGUGUAAGUAACUGUGCACAUCUUGACGGUACCUAAUCAGAAAGCCACGGCUAACUACGUG